UCCCUGGUGGCUCAGAUGGUAAAGCAUCUGCCUGCAAUGCAGGAGACCUGGGUUCAUUUCCUGGGUCGGGAA
rnacentral:tRNA from 1 species